GACGAACGCCUGCGGGCGUGCUUAACACAUGCAAGUCGAACGGAAAGGCCCUGCUUUUGUGGGGUGCUCGAGUGGCGAACGGGUGAGUAACACGUGAGUAACCUGCCCUUGACUUUGGGAUAACUUCAGGAAACUGGGGCUAAUACCGGAUAGGAGCUCCUGCUGCAUGGUGGGGGUUGGAAAGUUUCGGCGGUUGGGGAUGGACUCGCGGCUUAUCAGCUUGUUGGUGGGGUAGUGGCUUACCAAGGCUUUGACGGGUAGCCGGCCUGAGAGGGUGACCGGCCACAUUGGGACUGAGAUACGGCCCAGACUCCUACGGGAGGCAGCAGUGGGGAAUAUUGCACAAUGGGCGGAAGCCUGAUGCAGCAACGCCGCGUGCGGGAUGACGGCCUUCGGGUUGUAAACCGCUUUCGCCUGUGACGAAGCGUGAGUGACGGUAAUGGGUAAAGAAGCACCGGCUAACUACGUGCCAGCAGCCGCGGUGAUACGUAGGGUGCGAGCGUUGUCCGGAUUUAUUGGGCGUAAAGGGCUCGUAGGUGGUUGAUCGCGUCGGAAGUGUAAUCUUGGGGCUUAACCCUGAGCGUGCUUUCGAUACGGGUUGACUUGAGGAAGGUAGGGGAGAAUGGAAUUCCUGGUGGAGCGGUGGAAUGCGCAGAUAUCAGGAGGAACACCAGUGGCGAAGGCGGUUCUCUGGGCCUUUCCUGACGCUGAGGAGCGAAAGCGUGGGGAGCGAACAGGCUUAGAUACCCUGGUAGUCCACGCUGUAAACGGUGGGUACUAGGUGUGGGGUCCAUUCCACGGGUUCCGUGCCGUAGCUAACGCUUUAAGUACCCCGCCUGGGGAGUACGGCCGCAAGGCUAAAACUCAAAGGAAUUGACGGGGCCCCGCACAAGCGGCGGAGCAUGCGGAUUAAUUCGAUGCAACGCGUAGAACCUUACCUGGGUUUGACAUGGAUCGGGAGUGCUCAGAGAUGGGUGUGCCUCUUUUGGGGUCGGUUCACAGGUGGUGCAUGGCUGUCGUCAGCUCGUGUCGUGAGAUGUUGGGUUAAGUCCCGCAACGAGCGCAACCCUUGUUCACUGUUGCCAGCACGUUAUGGUGGGGACUCAGUGGAGACCGCCGGGGUCAACUCGGAGGAAGGUGGGGAUGACGUCAAGUCAUCAUGCCCCUUAUGUCCAGGGCUUCACGCAUGCUACAAUGGCUGGUACAGAGAGUGGCGAGCCUGUGAGGGUGAGCGAAUCUCGGAAAGUCGGUCUCAGUUCGGAUUGGGGUCUGCAACUCGACCUCAUGAAGUCGGAGUCGCUAGUAAUCGCAGAUCAGCAACGCUGCGGUGAAUACGUUCCCGGGGCU
rnacentral:rRNA from 1 species